rnacentral:rRNA from 1 species
AACGCUGGCGGCGUGCCUAAUACAUGCAAGUUGAACGCAACAAAGACACAGAGCUUGCUCUACCGUCUUUGUUGAGUAGCGAACGGGUGAGUAACGCGUGGGUAACCUGCCUUAUAGCGGGGAUAACUAUUGGAAACGAUAGCUAAUACCGCAUAACAAUAGAGAUUGCAUAAUCUUUAUUUGAAAGUGCCAACUGGUACACUAUGAGAUGGACCCGCGUUGUAUUAGCUAGUUGGUAGUGUAAUGGACUACCAAGGCGAUGAUACAUAGCCGACCUGAGAGGGUGAUCGGCCACAUUGGGACUGAGACACGACCCAAACUCCUACGGGAGGCAGCAGUAGGGAAUCUUCGGCAAUGGACGAAAGUCUGACCGAGCAACGCCGCGUGAGUGAAGAAGGUUUUCGGAUCGUAAAACUCUGUUGUUAGAGAAGAAUGUUGAUUAGAGUGGAAAAUUAAUCAAGUGACGGUAUCUAACCAGAAAGGGACGGCUAACUACGUG